rnacentral:tRNA from 1 species
UGCAUCUGCCGGGAAUCGAACCCGGGCCGCCCGCGUGGCAGGCGAGCACUCUACCACUGAACCACC